UACGUAGGGGGCGAGCGUUAAUCGGAAUUACUGGGCGUAAAGCGUGCGCAGGCGGUGAUGUAAGACCGAUGUGAAAUCCCCGGGCUCAACCUGGGAACUGCAUUUGUGACUGCACGGCUGGAGUGCGGCAGAGGGGGAUGGAAUUCCGCGUGUAGCAGUGAAAUGCGUAGAUAUGCGGAGGAACACCGAUGGCGAAGGCAAUCCCCUGGGCCUGCACUGACGCUCAUGCACGAAAGCGUGGGGAGCAAACAGG
rnacentral:rRNA from 1 species